rnacentral:rRNA from 1 species
UGCAAGUCGAACGAGGAAUUCUUACAACUUGUAUUCGUACUUGUUUUGAGAAUUUCCUAGUGGCGAACGGGUGAGUAACGCGUUGGUGACCUACCCCGAAGCGGGGGAUAACAGGCCGAAAGGCCUGCUAAUACCCCAUGUGGUCAUCAGGAUUAGAUCCCUGAUGAUUAAAGGAGAACAAUUUCGAUUGGACUUCACUUUGGGAGGGGCCUGUGUCCCAUCAGCUAGUUGGUAGGGUAAUGGCCUACCAAGGCAAUGACGGGUAGGGGGCCUGAGAGGGUGGCCCCCCACACUGGCACUGAAACACGGGCCAGACACCUACGGGUGGCAGCAGUAGGGAAUAUUGCCCAAUGGACGAAAGUCUGAGGCAACAACGCCGCGUGUGCGAUGAAGGCCUUCGGGUCGUAAAGCACUUUUCUGAGGGAAGAGAAAGGACGGUACCUCCGGAAUAAGUCUCGGCUAACUACGUGCCAGCAGCCGCGGUAACACGUAGGAGGCAAGCGUUAUCCGGAUUUACUGGGCGUAAAGCGCGUGUAGGCGGUUUGGUAAGUUGGAUGUGAAAGCUCCCGGCUCAACUGGGAGAGGUCGUUCAAUACUGCCCGACUAGUGGACGGUAGAGGGAGGUGGAAUUCCCGGUGUAGUGGUGAAAUGCGUAGAUAUCGGGAGGACACCAGUGGCGAAGGCGGCCUCCUGGGCCGUUCCUGACGCUCUA